UACGGAGGGGGCUAGCGUUGUUCGGAAUUACUGGGCGUAAAGCGCGCGUAGGCGGACCUGCAAGUCGGGGGGUGAAAGCCCGAGGCUCAACCUCGGAACUGCCUUCGAUACUGCGGGUCUCGAGUCCGGGAGAGGUGAGUGGAAUUCCUAGUGUAGAGGUGAAAUUCGUAGAUAUUAGGAAGAACAACCAGUGGCGAAGGGCGGCUCACUGGCCCGGUACUGACGCUGAGGCGCGAAAGCGUGGGGAGCAAACAGG
rnacentral:rRNA from 1 species